rnacentral:rRNA from 1 species
CCUUCGGCGUCCGCAUUGUAAUCUCAAGAAGUGUUUUCCGCUUCGGACCAUGCCUAAGUCCCUUGGAAAAGGGCAUCAUAGAGGGUGAUAAUCCCGUACAUGGCAUGGAGCGCCCGAAGCUUUGUGAUACGCUUUCUAAGAGUCGAGUUGUUUGGGAAUGCAGCUCAAAAUGGGUGGUAAAUGCCAUCUAAGGCUAAAUAUUGGGGAGAGACCGAUAGCGAACAAGUACAGUGAUGGAAAGAUGAAAAGAACUUUGAAAAGAGAGUUAAACAGUACGUGAAAUUGCCAAAAGGGAAGGGUAGGAGGUCAGAGAUGCGUCGCAGGAUUCAGCCUUGCUUUUGCUUGGUGUUUUUCCUGCGUUGCAGGCCAACGUCGGUUUUGGGCACUGGAGAAGGGUAGGAGGAACGUGGCACCUCUCGGGGUGUGUUAUAGCCUCCUA